AUACGUAGGGGGCGAGCGUUGUCGGAAUGAUUGGGCGUAAAGGGCGCGUAGGCGGCCCGGUAAGUCUGGAGUGAAAGUCCUGUUUUUAAGAUGGGAAGUGCUUUGGAUACUGUCGGGCUUGAGUUCAGGAGAGGUAAGUGGAAUUCCCAGUGUAGCGGGUAAAUGCGUAGAGAUUGGGGGGAACCCCAGUGGCGAAGGCGACUUACUGGACUGUAACUGACGCUGAGGCGCGAAAGUGUGGGGAGCAAACAGGAUUAGAUACCCUGGUAGUCCACACUGUAAACGAUGAAUGCUAGGUGUAGGGGGUAUCGACCCCUUCUGUGCCGCAGUCAACACAAUAAGCAUUCCGCCUGGGGAGUACGGCCGCAAGGUUGAAACUCAAAGGAAUUGACGGGG
rnacentral:rRNA from 1 species